UACGGAGGUCUCAAGCGUUGUUCGGAUUCAUUGGGCGUAAAGAGCUCGUAGGCGGUCUGUUGCGUCCGCUGUGAAAACUCGGGGCUUAACCCCGAGCCUGCAGUGGAUACGGGCAGACUAGAGGUAGGUAGGGGAGAAUGGAAUUCCCGGUGUAGCGGUGAAAUGCGCAGAUAUCGGGAGGAACACCGGUGGCGAAGGCGGUUCUCUGGGCCUUACCCUGACGCUGAGGAGCGAAAGCGUGGGGAGCGAACAGG
rnacentral:rRNA from 1 species